UGGGUCCCUGUACGAUUCUAUGGAGCACAGCUCCGUGAGCCCCUGCCUCUCAUUGGCUGGACUUUGUAAGGGUAGACAGAAUUCUUCUUUUAAACCCAUGGGAUGUCAGAGUUUUACUGUUAAAGUAGCUAGUUUAAUCUUAGCUAAUAUAGUAACACAUUUUGGGCUUCUUCAGCAGUAUCCAGAGGGAGAGAACUGGGGCCAUGGAACCCAGAGGAGAGGAGGUGCAAAACCAACUCUGGAUUUCUUUAUAGCAGCGUGUCCUCAACUAUUUGUUGGAACAUUCCUUUCUACCUGGAAUAUAUUUCCACCUGAGGUUAACAGGAGUUUGAAACAAACAACAAACAACAACAACAACAAAGAACUUCUAAGUCUCCAUAUUGCUAAGACCACCAAUGGCUCAGAUCCUUCAGGAAUGAAGAUUUGGUUUGGGUCACCCCACAGAGUCAAGAGUUCUGACCAGCUGAGAUGCUAGCUGAGAAGCAGGCAGAGGGAGAUUUGAGGACAAACAGAAAAGGAGGAGACAGUGUGAUCUGGAAGACUGAGACUGGAGUGAUGCAGCCACACAUCAAGGAAGAGGCCUUCUUCAAGGAGCCACACACCAACGAGAACACCUUCUCCCCCAAAACCUCUGGGCCAGGCAGCUCAGUUCUCUACAGAACAGAAGAUGCUACAGAAGAGGAAUCAGUUCAUCAAGAACACAUCAUUCAGCCAGCCACAUCAGUUAGCCACCUGCCACAUGCAGGGCCCACAUCUUAGGAGGGGAAGGACAUGCACUGUUCAAUCACCUGCCCUGGGGGAAGCCAGCUGCCCUGAGGUGAGGCUGAUGUUGUGGGGAACUGAGGCCUCUUGCUGACAGCCACGAGUGAGCCAUUGUCAAAGCAGAUCCUCCAGCUGCAGUCAAACAUUUGGAAAAACAACCUCAUCAGGAGAGUGAAAAGGCUGGCUUAAAACUCAACAUUCAAAAAACUAAGAUCAUGGCAUCUGGUCCCAUCGCUUCAUAGCAAAUAGAUGGGGAAACAAUGGAAAC